rnacentral:rRNA from 1 species
GAUGAACGCUGGCGGCGUGCUUAACACAUGCAAGUCGAACGGAAAGGCUCCUGCUUUCCGGGGUACUCGAUUGGCGAACGGGUGAGUAACACGUGGGGGAUCUGCCCUUCACUUCGGGAUAAGCCUGGGAAACUGGGGCUAAUACCGGAUAGGACGUAGUGUUGGAUGCCGUUGUGGAAAGAAUUUCGGUGUUGGUUGAGCUCUCGGCUGAUGAGCUGGUUGGUGGGGUAUUGGCUAACGAAGGCGUUGACGGGUAGCCGGCUGGGGAGGGUGUACGGCAACAAUGGGACUGAGAUACGGCCCAGACUCCUACGGGAGGCAGCAGUCGGGAAUAUUGCGCAAUGGGGGCAAGCCUGAUGCAGCGGCGCCGCGUGCGGGAUGACGGCCUUCGGGUUGUAAACUCCUUUCGCUGGGGACGAAGCGCAAUUGACGGUACCUGGAGAAGAAGCCCCGGCUAACUACGUG